UAUAGGAUCUACCUAGUAGUACGGAAUAAUUGUUGGAAACGGCAACUAAUACCGUAUACGCCCUACGGGGGAAAAAUUUAUUGCUAUUAGAUGAGCCUAUAUUAGAUUAGCUAGUUGGUGGAGUAAUAGCCUACCAAGGCAAUGAUCUAUAGCUGAUCUGAGAGGAUGAUCAGCCACACUGGAACUGAGAUACGGUCCAGACUCCUACGGGAGGCAGCAGUGGGGAAUAUUGGACAAUGGGCGAAAGCCUGAUCCAGCCAUGCCGCAUGAGUGAAGAAGGCCUUUGGGUUGUAAAGCUCUUUUAGUGAGGAAGAUAAUGACGGUACUCACAGAAGAAGUCCUGGCUAACUCCGUGCCAGCAGCCGCGGUAAUACGGAGAGGGCUAGCGUUAUUCGGAAUUAUUGGGCGUAAAGGGCGCGUAGGCGGAUUAGUAAGUUAAAAGUGAAAUCCCAAGGCUCAACCUUGGAAUUGCUUUUAAAACUGCUAAUCUAGAGAUUGAAAGAGGAUAGAGGAAUUCCUAGUGUAGAGGUGAAAUUCGUAAAUAUUAGGAGGAACACCAGUGGCGAAGGCGUCUAUCUGGUUCAAAUCUGACGCUGAGGCGCGAAGGCGUGGGGAGCAAACAGGAUUAGAUACCCUGGUAGUCCACGCUGUAAACGAUGAAUGUUAAAUAUGGGAAGUUUUACUUUCUGUAUUACAGCUAACGCGUUAAACAUUCCGCCUGGGGACUACGGUCGCAAGAUUAAAACUCAAAGGAAUUGACGGGGACCCGCACAAGCGGUGGAGCAUGUG
rnacentral:rRNA from 1 species